UUAUCGGUAUCUCUGCCGCCUGCAGGCUAUUGCUUCUGCUACCACCCUAAAAGAAUAAUAUUUUCUUGGGAACCCCAGCCGGAGACAACACAUUUGGUACCCACUGAAUAUUGUCUUGUGCUAAGCGGCAGAGCGGUUACCUCCGAGUUCCAUGCUGGGAUGAUUAACCACCAUCUGCACAUUAUAUUGGAGCGUUGUAGUAUCUUUUUUGCUGAGGAACGUGCUGCCCAUGAUCAGUACAUAUUCACGAGCCCUUCGAAAUCCUUUUUUCUUUGAUGAUGAUCAAUAAUAUAAUAUACCCCAUUUAGUGGGGUUAAAAAUGGGUUACACACUUUAUAAGGGAAUUAGAAUACCCUGCUUUGUACAGCUCCUCUGGAUGUGGACGGAUACUACUCACGCGAAGGUACAGUGGGCCGCUGACACGAUCAAGCGCUGGGUGAUGACAACUCCGCCGCAGAUGUGACCACUGCCAUAUUUUCCAUUUUCGCGUUGAACCAGACGCACAGAUACCUGAUAUGGUGCUUCCAUUAUGUCGAUAUCCUCACCACCAACAAUCUUGGUAUUAAAACCCUUUCCAGCAGCAGUGGAAUUGUCUUAAAGAAAUAUAGGGAUUUAAUUAAUGUCUUUAUGAAUAGACUUAUGUUCAAACUGAAAGCUAUUAUAAGUCCCUAACAGUAUUCCUAUAUCAUAUGUGAGUAUGGCGAACCUCCAUUUCCGGCUAAAAUCAAGAGAAAUAGCGUCGAUGCCGCCAAGAUGAAUAUCAUAGAGACUUUGAUCUACAAUUUUAAACUACAAUGAAAUUAAAUAAAAAUGUAACUUUAAUCAAACAAAA